rnacentral:rRNA from 1 species
AGAGCGAACGCUGGCGGCAGGCCUAACACAUGCAAGUCGAGCGCCCGUAGCAAUACGGGAGCGGCAGACGGGAUAGUAACACGUGGGAACGCGCCCUUCGGUUCGGAAUAACUCAGGGAAACUUGAGCUAAUACCGGAUACGCCCUUACGGGGAAAGAUUUAUUGCCGAAGGAACGGCCCGCGUCCGAUUAGCUAGUUGGUGAGGUAAUGGCUCACCAAGGCGACGAUCGGUAGCUGGUCUGAGAGGAUGACCAGCAUCACUGGGACUGAGACACGGCCCAGACUCCUACGGGAGGCAGCAGUGGGGAAUAUUGGACAAUGGGCGCAAGCCUGAUCCAGCCAUGCCGCGUGGGUGAAGAAGGCCUUCGGGUUGUAAAGCCCUUUUGUUGGGAAGAAUCGUACGGUUGAAUAUUCCGUGCGGAUGACGGUACCCAAAGAAUAAGCACCGGCUAACUUCGUGCCAGCAGCCGC